UUAGGUCUAAUAAAUGUAUAUAAAUUUCCACUCGAUAAUUUCCAUCUACAACACCCUUCAACUGAUUAAUUGACAACAUGUCCAGGCAUGAAAUUGAAGACGUUAAUUUACGGCUAAUCGUCGUGGGGACGUGGGCUGUAACUAGCUACUUCUUUCAAUAUUAUUUAUUUAUAUGCCUGCAAAUUGAGGUUUUAAUAGUCUUUAUUUAUUAAACAAGUUUCAUUGUAGGCCGAUUUGUCACGGAAUAUAUCUUGGGAGUGUCAAUUUGACAAUGUUAUAAAGUUUGAAGAAACUGCAGAACAAGAAUUGUCGGUCUUAUUAAUCUAAUACAUGCAUUGCAUGGCAAGCUCCCC